rnacentral:lncRNA from 1 species
AUAUUUUAUUGCAUCUCUAUGUUUCAGAAUCUCCUGCCAGUCCGAGUGCUUCUACAGCUGAGACUCAAACAACAGAACCUACAACACCGUCUGCAAGUGCAAGCCCUUCAGAUUCUCAAACAGCAGAACCCACAACAUCUACCACAACAAAUGCUCUUUCAACUGAGACUCAAACUUCCACAACUCCUUUAAGUGAGUAACCAUUAUUAUCUAAUC